rnacentral:rRNA from 30 species
GAACGACUCUCGGCAACGGAUAUCUCGGCUCUCGCAUCGAUGAAGAACGUAGCGAAAUGCGAUACUUGGUGUGAAUUGCAGAAUCCCGUGAACCAUCGAGUCUUUGAACGCAAGUUGCGCCCGACGCCUUCUGGCCGAGGGCAUGUCUGCCUGGGCGUCACGC